AACUCGAAAUGAUUCGAAAAAAUAUGGGAAACAACUACGAGAAUCAUUGGCUAAUUACUCACUUUUUCACUUCUUCGUACUCUGCCUCUUGUGCCUGCUCACCACCACCUUGGGCACCU